AAUAAAAAAGUUAUCAGUACCUAUUAUCGAAAUACAAUAUUUUCUUAUAUAUUAUAUACGAUGGGAACGAUGAAUUUCUGUGGAUCAUUCUUGAACAGCUCAAUCCUCAAUAAUAUUAAAAUGAAAAUGUUCGAUGCAAAUUGAUGAUGCUGAUUAUUAAGCUGCCGCAGUUUUUCUUUUAUAAUCUUUUGAUUAGGAACAUUCAUUCUUUCAAAUAGAAAUUGAACGUAUAUAAAUGCUUGUAAAUCGAUAUGUUAAUGUGGCGCAAAGUUCGGCGGAGUCGUUGGGUCAAUGUGACGUCAGCGGAUACGAAGACCCUCGAUGUGCUGAACUACGACAAUAUUUGCGUUUAAAAUGUUUCUCAGUUGUGCAUAUGCAUAUAAUAUGAUCGUAGUCACUAUAUUGAUUUACGACAAUCUUUUCAUUUUUGUAAGAGACAAAAUACGAAUAUUUUUUUAGCAAUAGAUAUUUCUUAUUAUUUCUAUACUUUGAUAUGCAUUUAUGAAUAAUCAUGAAAUUUUUAGGUUAAUAAAAAGUAAAUAUGUAUAUAUACAUAUAUAUAUACAUACAUAAUAUGAGAUCUAAUGUGCUUGAAUGUUUACACUUUUUUUUAUUGAAGGCGUAAAAUGAUAAUUUGCUCGAAGAAAAUUAAAAAGAAAUCAAAAAUAGAGAAGAAAAGAAUAAAAGAAUAAUGAUUGGAUAGCCUGUCCGUUCCUUUCAAUGACCCCUGGACCAUUCUCUGAUUCUUCAGAGUUAAAUACUUCCCUCGGUUGGUUCCAGAAUGGAGAAAAAGAAAAUGAUAACCCCAGAUACUGUGGUGGCGGUGCUGAAAUGGCUUCUAAUUAAAAAAUCAUUCGAUUUGUGAUCGAUUUUUUGUUAGACACGUUGUUUCAAAUCAAUUCUGUUGAUGGCGCAAUCCGAUAAUCGUAACGGAGGAUCUAUUUUAAUUACCGUUAAUUACCGUUCCGGUCAAUUAUAAAAUAUAUUUUCCAUAAGGAUGAUGUAUAUACAAAACGGUUGAAUAUGCGAAGUGACAAUCAUAAAGAAGAGUUUUAUUGAUCGUAAAAGCGAUCGUCUCUCGUGCCAACACGCUUAGGAACCAUCGCAUUACAAUAGCGCAUACACGUGGUUGACAAACAUGGGAGCGGCAUAUUGGGUCGAUGGCAAAAGGAAUAAAAAAAAAAAAAAAAAGAAAAGAGGGAAGGACAUAGAAGCUGGGAUAUAAGCGAGAAAAAGGAUAUAUACCACUGGCUCGACCUUUCUACCUUGUCUACAUGUAUUUCACUCGCUUUAUACCUAGGUGUGGCUUAUGUAUUCCUUUACCUCUGUGAACUAUCGCAUUUCCGGCAUAAUCCCCCGUUCAGGAGAUUGUACAACGUGUGUUGGACUUGGAAAAUUAACGCUGAUUUGAAAUUGAAACCUCUUUCUUGAAAUCUAUCCUCCAUUUUAUUCUUUGAAAUUCAUUCACAACAUAUUAUUUUAUUUGUAAGUUGAAAUUUGGUAUCAAGAUUGGUAAAGGAUAUAUUGGUAUGGAUAAUAUUUAAGAAUAUUCAACUUUCUCCAGAAUUCUAAUAGAUAAAACCUUUUGCAGGUUAAACAAGAGUUUAAUGAGCCUUGAGAGAAUGUCAAAUUGGGAUUGUACGUAAAGAAUUUUAAGGAAAACUGUGGUGCACAAGGGACAUCUGUUGUAAGGGAUGUUUAAUCGAUUAACGAACAAUUGAAAGAAGGUAAAGCCUCCUCUGGCUAAAUGUGACUUUUAACGAGCAGCAACGAGGAGAAACGGGGAACGACCUGCGCGCGGAUUCGGGCGCGGUCAAUGCCGUCUAGAUGCUAUUGCUAUUACUAUCCGGACCGUCUGAUAUUUUCGUCAUGGCCUACUAAUACACUCCGCAAAUUCUCGCCCUACCACGGGGGUCACUGUUCGAGGAUGACGUGGUCAAGGAAAUAUGCCGAUCAUUCCCUGAUAAGCGAGAGGAGAAGAAUAUCUAUCUUCCAUCAGUUUUGAACAAUCAAAGGUAGAUUCAUGUGAACAUGUUCUUCAAUGUUUACUUAGAUGGAAGUUCGAAUUUUUUUAACUUGAAAUGAAGAAAGCAGCAGUGUACUUGGGAUGCGUUUAGCGGGUAACCGGGUACAUAAUGGUCGUGGCUAAAUAUUCAAACAGUUUGACCUUCCAUAUAUUCAUGACCGUCAUCUUGGUGGAGAAAAAGAAAAGGUAGAUGGAUUUGCAUUUGAAUGAUGGAACGAUUUGUGGGACAAGAAGUUUUUCAAUAUACCGCUUUCCGGUAGUGUACGUGUUGACCAUCGACUCUGGCAGCCAUUUUUAGGAAAAUUGCUUUUAACGUGUUCCACGGCAUAAAGGUGCGGUUCACGAUUUAUUCAAAAUUACGUUGCCCGAUAGUUGGAAAUCAUCCUUUGAUUAUGAAAUUACCAUUAGCAUAUAGUAUUGAGAACGCAAUGAAAUUAAGCGUUUACGUCAUCUUCUUACUUUUAGGAUUAUAUUACUCUGUGAAAAAAACAUACAAAAAAUUAAAAUUUAUAGUACUUUUUUUCUUCUGCUCAAAAAAGUAUUAUCUGUAUCUGAGAGGCGGGUUACAGAGAUAACGGUUCUAAAGUUAAUUUUUUAUUUCAUAAUGAAAAAUUCGUUUUCCAUUCGCAUCUCGUCACGACACACUACCGACAGAGUCCUGGCAUGAUGCAAUACGAACUAUGUGUACCCAUUUCUCCACGCAUCGAGACAUUUAUCUGUUCAACUCAUUAUCGAUAGAAUGCCACUUUCGCCCUAUUUCGUAAGACCAGGCGUCGUGCAACAUUAGUUUUAAGCGAGAUAAAAUUUUUUGAAUUUGGGACACAUGAAAAAACAUAGGGUCGUUGGGUCGUUCUGCAUCGAUAAGAUAUUACCGACGUGGAAUACAAGUGCACUGGUUACAUAAAUGGUGGUACAGCUGUUGAACGGGGUGAGAUUUUCAUUCCAAACGAAAAGUUAUAUCGCAGUAGACGGAGUAGACGAUGUAAAUCAUUGUUGUAAUGGAUCGAACGUUCCAUUUGAACACGCAUUAUCACAGCAAUCGAGAUAAGAAUUUCUGUCGCAAUCAUUCGUGUUCAUGAUACGUAUAUCGUUGAUAAUUAAGUGAUCAUUGUUACAUUACUUUUACUUGCAACUACUACUUUUCCGUUUCUUCAAAAUACCAACCAAUAUAAUAUUUACAAUGGGAGUUUAUAAGGUAAAAAAAAAGAUACGUAAAUGGCCUGUAAUGCGAAGCGUUAUCAUCCUUGAACUCGGUGACGAAGCAUUCUAUGCUAACGCGUCGUAAAAUACAGCGAUACGAGUGUAUUAACUACUUUACGUUACUUUCUAUGAAUAGCGAGUUAAUUGAAUAGUUACAAUAGUCGUUUAACGAUGAAUUCGUUAUAUUUCUCGUGAAAUGUAUCGUUCAAAUUGCACCCAAUCAUGUACAUCGAAUAUAAUCAUUAUCUUUCGUCGAUUAAAAUUCAAUUAUAACGAGUAAAUUGUAAAUUUGUUAAAUAUAAAUAUUAUGUAUCUCCAA